rnacentral:rRNA from 1 species
UACGGGGGGGGCAAGCGUUGUUCGGAAUUACUGGGUGUAAAGGGCUCGUAGGCGGCCAACUAAGUCAGACGUGAAAUCCCCAGGCUCAACCUGGGAACUGCGUCUGAUACUGGUUGGCUUGAAUCCGGGAGAGGGAUGCAGAAUUCCAGGUGUAGCGGUGAAAUGCGUAGAUAUCGGGAGGAACACCAGAGGCGAAGGCAGCGACCUGGACAGGUACUGACACUCAACUACGAAAGCGUGGGGAGCAAACAGG